CACGUAGGGCGCAAGUGUUGUCCGGAAUUAUUGGGCGUAAAGAGCUCGUAGGUGGUUUGUUACGUCUGCUGUGAAAACCUAGGGCUUAACCCUGGGCUUGCAGUGGAUACGGGCAGACUAGAGGUAGGUAGGGGAGAAUGGAAUUCCUGGUGUAGCGGUGAAAUGCGCAGAUAUCAGGAGGAACACCGGUGGCGAAGGCGGUUCUCUGGGCCUUACCUGACACUGAGGAGCGAAAGCGUGGGGAGCGAACAGG
rnacentral:rRNA from 1 species